AUGGGGAUGGAGCAUCUGAUGAGUGUCGUGAAUCCGUCAUCAGGUUACAUCUUACAAAGAGGUCUCGAACGCCGUGGUGAUGGGACGAUGGAGGAAAAGAAAGAGCUACAGAAGCAGAGGACAGAAAAAAUGAUGGAAGCCUACCAAAACACAGAAAGCAGGGAUGGAGUGAUCAGAUGUCCAAUUCCAUGCAAAAGCAGCAGACCGUACAGGGAGUAUGAUUUUAAAAGUGCACAAGAUCUCUCUGAUUUUAUGGUGAGCAAGGCUUCUCCUCCAUACUUCAUGGGAUCUCCACCAGUUCGUGCAAGCAAUCCCCUUGUCAAUGACAGGCAGUUCUGUGCUUGGAAAGUACAAAGCGUUGAUGAGUCACUCGGCAUUCCUAUACCAACCAGGGGCUACCGCGUUGGCUACAACAAAAGGGGAGGGGCUGCUACAGAGGAUUGA
rnacentral:rRNA from 1 species